GAUGAACGCUGGCGGCGUGCCUAAUACAUGCAAGUCGAGCGAACAGACGAGGAGCUUGCUCCUCUGACGUUAGCGGCGGACGGGUGAGUAACACGUGGAUAACCUACCUAUAAGACUGGGAUAACUUCGGGAAACCGGAGCUAAUACCGGAUAAUAUAUUGAACCGCAGGGUUCAAUAGUGAAAGACGGUUUUGCUGUCACUUAUAGAUGGAUCCGCGCCGCAUUAGCUAGUUGGUAAGGUAACGGCUUACCAAGGCGACGAUGCGUAGCCGAUCUGAGAGGGUGAUCGGCCACACUGGAACUGAGACACGGUCCAGACUCCUACGGGAGGCAGCAGUAGGGAAUCUUCCGCAAUGGGCGAAAGCCUGACGCAGCAACGCCGCGUGAGUGAUGAAGGUCUUCGGAUCGUAAAACUCUGUUAUUAGGGAAGAACAAAUGUGUAAGUAACUAUGCACGUCUUGACGGUACCUAAUCAGAAAGCCCCGGCUAACUACGUG
rnacentral:rRNA from 1 species